rnacentral:tRNA from 2 species
GAUAGUUGGUGUAGGUGGAUAGCACGCUGGCUCCUAAGGUGGGGCCGGAGGGUAUAGGUUCAAGUCCUAUGACUAUCG